rnacentral:lncRNA from 1 species
AACCUUUUCCCUUUUGUUUAUAUCAAAUACUGAAAUAAAUAUUUUCAAAUAACACACAUUCUCUCAGCUAGAACUACGUAACCCUGAUUUCUCAUUUUAGUGAGAAUACGUAGGAGCAAGGUUAAUCCUUGUCGGAAUCAAAAAACUAAAAAAUAUUUUUGUUUCUUUAGAUUGUCGUUUUUUAGGAUAGUUAAACAUUUUGUAAACCACAUCACAUUCGCGUAUUUAAUUAAAGGUAUUGUCUUGGGCAGGCGUUGUAGGGUGCUAAUACCUUCCCUACACGUAACCGACUCCCGAACCCCAUCUUUGGUUUUUGUGGACCGUGCUUUAUCAUUUUAUGGUUUUUCUGUAGUUUUCCAGAAUAAACUAUGGUGGCGACUCCGAACUCUUUUUCAAACUGUUUUUUUUUUGGAUUGUCGUCCCGUCGCGAUUCCGGUUGCGACAGAUGGCGACUCCACUGGGGACGCUAGAGAGUCAAGCCAUUUAAUUAGACGCGCGAAUUGAAUGUAGUUUUUUUUUUCUUUAUGUUUUUCUUCCUCUUUUCUUUAACUAUGUUGAUGUUUGAAUGAUUGCAUGUGAAUUGUUGUAUAUUGAACCCUAGGGUAGAAAACAUGUCUAUAUCUGCCUGGGAUUUUUCUGGUUGUUUUACAGGUGAGGGUUCGGGGUAUGCAUAUUCAUCCUCUCUUCACACACACACUUUAUGCAUAUCAUGAGUGGGGCCCUAUACCCGGGUCUGAGUGUAACUUAGAAUUAGAGGAGUUGUGUAGCGGUGUCACUCUGGGAUGUACUUCCUGUCUGGCUAUCGUGAGAACUCCAGUUAGAGUCUGUUCUCUUCAUUUGUCUCUCCGCAUCUAGUUGAUUACUCGACUGCUGUGGAGACGCUGUGAAGAGGGCCAUAGCUCUAGUGACCAUUGAUCUUUAGGCUCAGGGAACCAUCCUUGUGAGAUUUCAUAUACUAGACCUUGAAUCUUAAGUGUCGAACCUUCAUAGGGGCACAAAGAGAGAUGUGUGUAGUCUUCUAACCCUCAUUUUCGCUUGAUAAGAUCACGCAUCUUGUGCAUAUCUUGAGUCACUUGUCUUUCUUGCGAAUCG